AACAAACGCUGGCGGCGUGCCUAGCACAUGCAAGUCGUACGAGAAAGGGUCCUUCGGGGCCUGAGUAAAGUGGCGCACGGGUGAGUAACGCGUGGAUAAUCUGCCCUUCAGUUGGGAAUAACUCAUCGAAAGGUGGGCUAAUACCGAAUAAUGCUGUGAGACCUCGGUUGAUCAGCCAAAGAGAGCCUCUGCUUGCAAGCCCUCGCUGAAGGAUGAGUCCGCGUACCAUUAGCUAGUUGGUAGGGUAAUGGCCUACCAAGGCGACGAUGGUUAGCUGGUGUGAGAGGAUGAUCAGCCACACUGGAACUGAGACACAGUCCAGACUCCUACGGGAGGCAGCAGUGAGGAAUCUUGCGCAAUGGGGGCAACCCUGACGCAGCAACGCCGCGUGAGUGAGGAAGGUCUUCGGAUCGUAAAGCUCUGUCGGAUGGAAAGAACCGCAUAGGGGUAAACAGCCCCUGUGUCUGACGGUACCAUCAAAGGAAGCACCGGCUAACUCCGUGCCAGCCGCCGCCGUAAGAC
rnacentral:rRNA from 1 species